rnacentral:rRNA from 1 species
GACGAACGCUGGCGGCGUGCUUAACACAUGCAAGUCGAACGGAAAGGCCGGGCCUUGGUGCGCUGCGCGAGGGGCGAACGGGGGAGUAACACGUGAGUAACCUGCACCUGACUGUGGGGUGAGCUCAGGAAAGUGGGGCUAAUACCGGAUAGGAGCUACUGCCGCAGGGUGGGCGUGGGAAAGUUUCGGCGGUUGGGGAUGGACUAGCGGCUUAUGAGCUUGUUGGUGGGGUAGUGGCUUACCAAGGCCUUGACGGGUAGCCGGCCUGAGAGGGUGACCGGCCACAUUGGGACUGAGAUACGGCCCAGACUCCUACGGGAGGCAGCAGUGGGGAAUAUUGCACAAUGGGCGGGAGCCUGAUGCAGCAACGCCGCGUGCGGGAUGACGGCCUUCGGGUUGUAAACCGCUUUCGCCUGUGACGAAGCGUGAGUGACGGUAAUGGGUAAAUAAGCACCGGCUAACUACGUG